AACGGAAAGCCUCCGCAGAAGCUGAUGCCAGUGGCCUUCCUCUGAAGCGCAGCCAUGUGCAAAGCCAGGGGAGGAGCACGGAGUGUGGCACAGCACCCAAGAGAGCAGUGACCAGCUCGGAUGUGCCGAAGGACAUCACGGACAUCCAGGGUUUGCUCUCGUGGAUCAAUGGUGAGUUUGGGGGCUGCAGAGCUGCAGGUGCGUGUUUGCACAGAGCGGGUGUGGGAAGGCUGUCAUCGCCAUUUUGGGGGAUGUUCUU